CCAAUAGCGUAUAUUAAAGUUGUUGCAGUUAAAAAGCUCGUAGUUGAAUUUCGGGAUCAAUUUGUCGGUCGUGCCUCGGUACGUACUGGCAUUAUUGGUUUCUCCCUUCUGACGAACCACGAUGUCAUUAAUUUGGUGUCGCGGGAAAUCAGGACUGUUACUUUGAAAAAAUUAGAGUGUUUAAAGCAAGCUCACGCUUGAAUACAUUAGCAUGGAAUAAUGAAAUAGGACGUUUGAUUCUAUUUUGUUGGUUUCUAGGAUCGACGUAAUGAUUAAUAGGGAUAGUUGGGGGCAUUAGUAUUCAAUUGUCAGAGGUUAAAUUCUUGGAUUUAUUGAAGACUAACUACUGCGAAAGCAUUUGCCAAGGAUGUUUUCAUUAAUCAAGAACGAAAGUUAGGGGAUCGAAGACGAUCAGAUACCGUCGUAGUCUUAACCAUAAACUAUGCCGACUAGGGAUCGGAUGAUGUUAAUUUUUUAAUGACUCAUUCGGCGCCUUACG
rnacentral:misc_RNA from 1 species